rnacentral:lncRNA from 1 species
CUUGAAUCACAAUGGGGCAGCUUGGGCUGCCCAGGCCCGGCGAGGCCGGGCUUUCUCCUAGACACUGAAGUCUGUUCUCCGACCCAAGGGACACAAGAAAAGUUGAGCUGGAGUAAAGUGGCAUGAUCUCGGCUCACUGCAGCCUCCGCCCCCGCCAGGUUCAAGUGAUUCUCCUGCCUCAGCCUCCCGAGUAGCUGGGAUUACAGGCGCAGGCCACCAUGCCCAGUUUGGGGUUUUCAGGGCUGUGGUUGUGAAGAAGAUCAAGACCCAUGAUGGGAAGCUGGUAUCCAAGUCCUCUGACGUCCUGCUCAAGUGAACAGCCACAGCAGCCCCUCCCAGCCUAUCCUUCCUGCAGCUGCCCCAGAGCCCAUGAGAAAAGCCACUGCGCAGGGGAGCACAGGGAACAGGAGACCCACCUGAGGCUCAGCCCUAUCCCUAAGCCCACAUAGGGGAGUUUACUCUCUGGGGCACCCCCCUUGCCCAUGCCUCCAGCAACAAAACAAUUCAAUUGCUUUUUUUUUUUUUUUUUUUUGUCCAAAAUAAAACCUCUG